rnacentral:lncRNA from 1 species
CCAAGUAUUAGACCCAUUAUAGCUUACACCAACUAUUCUUUACAGCUUACACCAAAUAUCCUUCAAUGUAUACCUGAAAAUAUUUGAAAUAUAAAAAUAAUCGAAAUAUGUGAGUCAAAAUAAAAUAAUUAUAAAUCCGAAACAUAAGAACCCUUACUUUAACCUGAAUUAUCUAAAAAAUAAAUGAGCCAAGAGAAGGUCAAAAUCAUUAAAUAAAACUAUGUUAUAAAUACAUGUGAAUGAAGUAAUUAAAAAAAGAGUAAGAAUGCCUGAUCCAAAACUAUUAAUAAGGCUUAGUCAAAAUGUUAAAGAGUCAAAAAUAUAUCCAGCAACCUGAGACAAAUUAUUACAUAGAAGAUAGUAUUGAUAUAUAUUAAAUCAAAUUCUACCACUCUUUAAACAAUAACCCCAAAUCGUUUCAUCUUAAAUUCACUUUUCCUUAGAUGCAACCUACAGGAAAUUUUCAAAUCACAUGUUUUUCUCUUCCUCCAGAAGAGUUUUACAACAAAUUAUAUGAUCCAGGUUUUAAUUCAAUCACAUGUUUUUCCCUUCCCUUCCUCCAAAUCACUUUUCUGUUGUAUUCUUUGAUUCUAGUUUUCUAGAAAACAUAGUAAAUAAUUUGGAUAACAUAUCCUCUUUCUAUUUUUAGGUUAUAACUGAAAACAAUUAUUUUGAAAAUGAUAGUCAAUACCCAAAGAACAAAAAACUAAAACUGGAGAACAACAAAAAGAGCAUAGAUCUAUUCAAUUUCCCACCAGUAAAAUAAACUUUAAUAGAAUCAAUUUCCUAGAACCAAUUUUCAAAUCACAUCUUAUUUUAGAAAGUAAAAGCAAAGUUUUAAUUGGAUCAUUGCAUUUGACACAUAUGAUCCAAGUUACCCUUAAGCUCCUCAGUAACCAAACUACAAAAAAAUCUAACUAUAUAAUACAAACAAACAACUUCUGGUAAGAAUCAAGUGUCAUCAUUUGAACCUCAACCACCUAGCAAAAGUCUGUUUCAAAUUAAUCAUUAAGCAUUUAACAUAAUAUAGGUCUCCGCAUUUGAUAAGGCAUCUAAAAAAACAUGGUGAACUGUAUGUACUACUAAUAAAUAAACAAAUGUCUACACGACAGAAUAAAUGCAGAGGCAGAUAUAUUUAUGGAUUAUUAAUCAUUCAAAACGAUAGCUAAAGUGUGUAUAUUUAUGGAUUAUUAAUCACAAUCAUUAAGAAUCAGUAUCAAGAUAUCAGCACGCCAAGCAACAAAAAUAUCAUGAUCGCUAAAGUGUGUCAGGUCCUUGCAGAUAUAUUUAUGGAUUAUUAAUCAUUCAAAACGAUAUCAGCAAGUCAAAACUAAAUUAAAUGUGAACAGAUCGGUACAAUAUCCCUCAAACAGGGUAAUAGAUCUUAUAUUAAACCAAAUCUAUUUGUGGAGACAGUUGAAUGUCGCAUGAACUGAUGAGUAAAGAAAACUACUUGUUGGUAAAGAAAAAACCAAGUGCAAGUCAGCAGCAGAAAUGCCGACAGGAAGUCCCUUUACCAACCAAUGCCAUUCAUAUCCCAUUUAGCUUACCUUCAAGUUAUACUAUAUACAAACAGGAGUACAUUGAUUUUCAUUUUUUAUCCCCUUAUUAUGUCAAAAAAUUGUCAAUACGUAGCAAGUCAAUCCACAAAUAUUCAGCCCCUAAAUCAACUAAACUUCAUGUUUAUAACAGGGCCUCCUAAUAUCCUCCUAUCUCUCCACCAAAAAUUAAAGACAGCAAUAUCAACCAUCACGUUCCUUAAUUAGCUUUCAAUAUACUCCACUUAGCUAGUUUCUUACAUAGUCGUGUGAAAAAUGACUGUGAUAUUGGCUUUAUUUGAAGCAAUUUUUUUGAUAUGGAAAAUAUAUAUAAACACAUACUGUCAUGUAAUGGAGUUUUUUUGAAUUUGAAGAAUAAGCCAGGAAUACUCACAGAGAAACACAAUGAGAAGAUUCAGAUGGAAAUGGAGAAUGUGAACCACCCUUUCUCUCAUGGCUGCUCUGUAGCUCAGACUCCAAAGGGAAAAAAACAAAAAUUAUCAAAUAGUGCAAGAACACACACGGAUAGAGAUUGUUAAAGCAAGAAUUAGAACUUCAAUUUAGAAAUUAAGAAAUGGUGGGGUUGUGAAAAUAAAGAAUGGGCGCCAUGAAUGAGAGCAGCUAGGUGUGUGGGGACAUAAGCUGCAAUCAGCAAUAGCUGUCCAUAAUAAUCCUCGUGUGAAAGACCCCACCCAUGAAUGAAUUGAGAGAAAAAACAGAAAUUUGUUAGUGUAAAACUCAGAUGCUAUAUGCUUGGCAUUAAAAUUCAUUAAUGGCCUUUUUUCCACUCUUGUACUACCACUAAUCCAAAUUUCAUUAAAAGUUUCAAGUGUUCCAAUUUUUCCUUCCCUUUUUUCCCCAAAAAUAAAACUUAAAAACAGGAUGCAAAUGAAGAAGCUUGGGUUCCAUACUAAAGUAGACUUUCUAAAAGUUCUAAAGCUAAUGAUAAUAAUAACAAUACUUUAGAUUUUCUAGUACACCAGGAUCUCCCACUGCCAAAUCAUUGAUUUCAUAUUUGAUCAGUUGUUCACUUGACAUGAAUGCCUUUUUCUAGUUUUCCUUGGCUAAUCCAUCAUUAGCAAUAUAAAUCCUCGUAAAAAAACAUUGUCCUUUAUUCUUUUAGACACUUGUGCACAUGCUCUCUAUGACAUAACAUCUCUCUCCUACGUUAUAAAACAAUAUAUCAUUAUUAUAUAUUUUGUUACAUACUUGUACAAAUUAUCUUUGUUCCGCACAAAAGCAUCUAAAGGUCACCUCUCCUACUUAUCGAAAUAGUAAAUAAAUUAAAAAAAUAUGAUCUAUCAUCCCUCUAAAAGACAUAAUACACAAGUACCACAAAUGGGCCUCACAUGAUUCAUCUACCUGUGAGAUCGUCUUACAGCUAAUCAUUUCACGUUCCAUGAUUACUCAAUAAUUUUAUUAUUACAAGACAAUUUGAAAACUAAUCAAUUCUACAGCAAGAUAGAUGUCAACCUCAAUCACAAAAGAAAUCUAACAAGGCUACCAAUGAAAAAACUACUAAAGCAAGACCUCCUGGCAAACAGCUUAUAAGACAAACAGCUUAUAAUUGUGAAUGAUAACUUAAUUAGUUAAGCCAAUUUGAAAACUAAUCAUGUUAACGUAACCACUAACUACUUACUAAGCAUUAACCACAAGUUAAAUUAAAGAAAAUGAAUUUACAAAGAAACUCAAAUAUUUUUUUACCACUUAUGGCACACAAAGUCAAAAGGGAAACUCAAAUAUUUUUUUUACCACUUAUUUUCCAAAACAAAAAUUGUUACUAUAAGUAUAACAAAAUACACCAUUAACUCCAAACAUAGUAAAAAAAAACCAUGAAUAUUUGGAUUUGUACAAUAUAAUCACAAUCAUAUAAUCACAAUCAUAGGCCCUUCACUUCAUGGUUAGGGAUGGUGACACCUAUCUCCCUCCAUGAAUAAAACAAAAUUUAACAGUUACUGCACCUUGAGCUCUCAUUAGAUGGGAUACGUUCUGAAGCUGAAAUUACCAUGUCAACAACUUAAAUGGAUGGCAAAAAGAUUACGAAUGUAAGCAUGAGACUACAACUUAAAUGGAUGGCAAAAAGAUUACGAAUGGAAUGUUGCUAAAUAACCAAAGAACUGUCAUGAAAAAUGCAGUAUUCAUCAAAUAAAGAUGGCAGUUAAAAUGAAUGAACAAAAUCCAUAAACCAAUUAGUUAUACCAACCAGCUGUACAGAAAAAUAAGAAAGAUUGAUAACAAACUCAAGCCUAACAUAGUUUAGAAAAACAAAAGCAGGCAAUACAGAGUGGUAAAAAUAACAAUUGAUAACAAUGGCACAAACAGCUAAAAAACUAACAGAUGAAUAAUAAAAGUACCCCGAAAUGAUAAGCCUAAAAAUUUAAUUUAUAGCAACAUAUCAACUGAAAUUUAUAACUGAACUCGUUAAAUGUCUCACUUAGAGAUGAAUUUUGAGAUCAAAACUUAUAUUCUCAAGGGAAGCCCAAGACGAAAUACUGAUCAAUUUAACCAAGAAACACAAUUGUAAACAUCAAACCAAUCAAAAGGAACCCUAAAAAAGGAAAAACCAAAUCAAGAACCCCAUAAACCCAAUAAAGCUAAACCCUCAGACAAUUGAAGAAACCAAUAAAGCUAAACCCAAUAAACCCAAUUUCAUACAUUUUGUAAGAAACCAAACUGAAAUUAAAGUAAAACCAAGAUAAGGUGCUGAGGAAGAAAUACCAAGAUAAGAAUUCUUGGACCAGUGGGCUGGUGGGUGGGUAUCAAAAUCUCGUCCGUAAGAAGUCGAUCAGGUGCCGAGGAAGAGGAGAGCCAAGAGGAGUCUUAGAUCUUCGACUUGUUCUGCUUCUGCGUUUUUCAAGUGAACCCAAUUAGGGUUGGGUAUGAGAGAUCGAGAUUUAGGGGAGAUGAGAGGGAAGGUGUCGCGGAAGAGAUUUAGAUAAGAACAGAGAGAGAUAGAAGGUGCCGCGGAAGAGGAGAACAGAGAGAGAUAGAAGGUGCCGCAGAAGAGGAGAGCCAAGAGAAGGUCUUAGAUCGCGUUUCUCUCUCUCUCUUCAACUUUUCAGCUCUGUGUGUGUAAGGAGAGAAGGAGAGAUAAAGGGUUUAAAAU